rnacentral:rRNA from 1 species
UACGGGGGGUGCGAGCGUUAAUCGGAAUAACUGGGCGUAAAGGGCACGCAGGCGGUCUGUUAAGUGAGAUGUGAAAUCCCCGGGCUCAACCUGGGAAUUGCAUUUGAUACUGGGAGUCUAGAGUACUGUAGAGGGGGGUAGAAUUCCACGUGUAGCGGUGAAAUGCGUAGAGAUGUGGAGGAAUACCGAAGGCGAAGGCAGCCCCUUGGGAAAGUACUGACGCUCAUGUGCGAAAGCGUGGGGAGCAAACAGG